GAAACCCAGGACUUUGAGUUUGAAUCCCAGCCCUCCUACGUGCUCUGUCACUUCAGCCAAAUCCCUUCACCUCUUGGGGAUUGGUGACAAUAAUGUGCCUUGCUGAUGGUGGGGGGAGGUCUCGAGUGAGGCUCUUUGGAAGGGCAAAGGGUUAGGUCAUAUGUCCCCAUGCGCACCCGAGUCCCCUUUCCCGUUCGCUGCAGUGGCGGGAAAUGGCGCCUCUCUGAAGUCCCAUCACUUCCUGCUUCCAAGUUUCAGUAGGAGCUGGGCCAGUAGGUGUAACUGCCAGGCGCCCUUCGGCGCGGCUCCCGUGGCGCUUCCUGUGCCCAGCGCAGCCAGCCUGUUGCGGGCAGGGGAGCAAUGCCAAGGGAACCAUGCUUCACCCUCUCCCCCGUCACCCACGUGGAUGUGUCAGCAGCCCCUCCCCUCCUGAGGAUUAGCGCCUGGAUUACUUCUGUUGGCGUCAGAAUUGUCCUUAUCUCAGCCAUCAUCAUUUCAGCCGCAACCGGUCGAGCGCUUCCUAAGUGCCAAGACUUCCGCACGUGACCCCCCCGCCAGCCGUCACCGACAGGUGAGAAUCCGGGCUUUCCUUUAUCAGCUAGCUCCUGGUUUGGAAGGAUUUGUUUCUAUCUGUGUCUAAGGUACAAAAGAAAAGAGGCGUUUUAACGCGGGGCAGAAGUGUGAGUCAGAGACAGCUUCAGACAAUCUGAGGUUUACCCACGCCUUCCGCUGCCAUCACCGCUCACGCUCAUACCCCAUGCUCCAGGCGUCGCAAGGCAAGGGUGGAGCUGGUGAGCCAAGCCCACUGAGCUGCUGGGAGUGGGGGUGUCUGCCCUUCAGCUGCUCAACUACGCGAGGAAGCGGAGAGGCCGGUCUCCUCCUCUUCGAGCGAUGGCAGAUGCUGCUGUUGGUGUGUGAAGCCUGGAACUGGGCUGGUCGUCUUGCAACCCAGGGAACAGCCAAGGGCAAAGCUGAGAGUGCCCUCACUGGUGCAUCAGGCAGGUGGGAUACUUGUGGCAACUUGAAAAAUAGAGACAUAAUUAAGACAACAUCAAAUUUCGUGUUUUAAAGUACAUGAUCUAGUGUUUUUUGUUUGUUUGUUUUGUUUGUUUUGUAUGUUCACCACGUUGGGCAACCAUCACCUUGCUUUCCAGAACAUUUCUGUCGCUCCGCAGAGAAACCAAUACCUCUCACCAGUCACUCUCAAUUCUCCCUUUCGCCAGCUCCUGGAAACCUCUAAUCUCCCUUCUGUCUGUACGGAUUUGCCUUCUGGACAUUUCACGUUGAUGGAAUCCUUCAGUUCGCGGUCUGUCGCGACUGUCUUCUUUCCCGUAAUGUUUUCAAGGUUCAUCCACAGCGAAGCACCUAGUAGCACUCUGUUCCUUCCCUCGGGCGUAUCAUAGUCCACCACACGGACCUACCAUAAUCCGUUGAUGCAUCUGUAAGCCGGUGGGCCUUUGGGUCCUUUCUGCUCUUUGGCUGCUGCAAGCAAUACCGCUGGGCACAGGCGUGUGCGAGUUUGGGGAAGAAGUGUUUUCAAGUCUCUUGGGUUAUCCAUCAGGUGGUCCUUGUACUUCCUAAAAUCUGGGUAGUAUGGCAGAGUGUUCAGAGGUAGACUCCGGAAUCUGACCACCUGGGCACAACUCCUGGCACUAACCCUUACUAGUUAGGGGACACUGGGCAGGUGACACUGGGCAGGACACCUGUGCUUCAGUUCUUUUUCCAGCAGAUGUGCGGGUAACUGUAUUGUCUCUACACGAUUUGCCCUAAGAACUAAGUGAGUUAAUCCAGCGACAGUGAUCCUUAGACCUCUACGUGGUGCAUAAUUAGCGCCCAGAAAACGUUAGCCGUUGUCAUUAAUGUCAUACCCACAUACCAGAAGGAACUCACUGUAGAUUCUGCUGCUGAAUUUGUUCUUACCUAUCUCUAGGGAGCGAGGGUGAGGUAGAAAUCCCUCUUCGUAAACACCAUCAUCACGUCCGCUGGCCCCCCUAAUGCAGAG
rnacentral:lncRNA from 1 species